rnacentral:lncRNA from 1 species
UUUAUCCCCCAUUUUGCAAAAAACUUUCUCGUGUUCUAGACCAGCUUUUCAGGGAGUCAAGGAAGAUAAAGAUUGCGAUUUGGAGAACAAGAGAGUUGCAACAACACGAUACAACAAGGCAAUCAGCUACAAAUGUGUUAAGCUGUUCCAUGGAAUCUUGAAGGAGAAAGACAAUGGAAGAGAUUAAAGAACAAACUGAAUCCUAACAUAUUGUAG